rnacentral:rRNA from 1 species
GUGCCAGCCGCCGCGGUAAUACAGAGGUCCCAAGCGUUGUUCGGAUUCACUGGGCGUAAAGGGUGCGUAGGCGGUCGGGUAAGUCUGAUGUGAAAUCUCGAAGCCUAACUUCGAAACUGCAUUGGAUACUAUUCGGCUAGAGGAAUGGAGGGGAGACUGGAAUGCUCGGUGUAGCAGUGAAAUGCGUAGAUAUCGAGCGGAACACCAGUGGCGAAGGCGAGUCUCUGGACAUUUCCUGACGCUGAGGCACGAAAGCCAGGGGAGCAAACGGGAUUAGAAACCCCAGUAGUCC